AGUGCAAAAUAACAUGUUCACAAAUAUUACAAGGAACCUAUUUAAAGCAUCGUAAGAAUGUUAAGAUCGCGAAAAUUUCUCUUUCGAAUGCGAAUUUCGAAUUUUACUGUCCUAUUCGAAUUUCUGAAAAUCAAAUGCAAAUCGGUGGUUCGACCAGCAAAUUAAUCUAAUCACAUUGAUUUGAAUUGUUUCUACUUUCUACAAAAGCUGCAUUAUUUACUGAUAUCUAAGCAAUCACCACGGGUUUGGCAAUCGCAUACACAUAGUGCCACCUCUCGAUGGUGUUUUGCGAAUCGUGUCGCAUAAUUUGCUGUGAACCGCAAUCGACAUAACUCAUACGCCGCGUGUCCCAAAUGGAGGUUAAGAGCCAGUGCAGUCGGUGCAGUGCCAGUUCGAGUGUCUAUAAAUAAAUCUCUCGAUGCAAUCGCAAACUGGUCUGGCCACUCGGAAUCUCGUGCCCAAAAACACUCGCACGAAACCAUACGAUCCAUUCAAAUGCGAAACGAAACGAAUCGCAGCGAAUCGAAAUGGCCUGCAGUUGCAUGCCGAAGAACGGCCAAAACGCGUCCA